ACGCUCGACACCUACGGAGGCAGCAGUGAGGAAUAUUGGUCAAUGGGCGCUAGCCUGAACCAGCCAAGUAGCGUGAAGGAUGAAGGCUCUAUGGGUCGUAAACUUCUUUUAUAUAAGAAUAAAGUGCAGUAUGUAUACUGUUUUGUAUGUAUUAUAUGAAUAAGGAUCGGCUAACUCCGUGCCUAGCAGCCGCGGUAAUCUGAGCGGGCUGGCAAGGC
rnacentral:rRNA from 1 species